UAUAAAUAAGGAAAACAUUUGGGAGCAAGCUGUUCGAUGACUUUGCAUUAUACCUGCAGUGGGGGUAUACCAGCCAGGUAGUUCCUUUAGUGAUGAUUGUCAGAACUGCUUUCAUUGCAGAUUUGCCUUUUUUAAAAACAAACAACAAGACACUUUACAGUCUCACAGAGGAAUGAGCAGCUGUGGCAAAUCAUUAAACUCUGGCUGGAGAAGACGCGCUCCAUACACCAGAAAGCCUGGACCAGCCUUCGGAAACUGCUUUCUGAGCAAGGAGGAAUGAACAUGAAGCGGAGCGACCCCAUAUGGGCAGGACCACCACGGUAUCCUGGUAUCAAGGAACAAACAGGAAAAACUCCUGAUGAGAAAUAAGCCAGACAACAGGAUACAAAGGGGGAAAGACAGCAUGCUGUAUGCAAUAUCUGAACCACAGAGGGAAUCAUAAAUAGAACUUAAAUGUUUUUCUUUUGAUGGCAUCUUCUGGAGACAUUUGGAAAGAGUCAAGAUACGAAUCACAUGUGCCUGCUCGUCACCCAGCUUCUGAUAAUUUAAUGAAGUUGUCAUGGGGAGCCUGCUUGUGAGUCAAUCUGAGACUUACACCUCAGGGGAACAGAGCACUGGAAUGCCGACAGACUGAUAGCUGCGCUCUUAUAAAAGAGUGUACUGUCUUUCUGGUGUGUAAUAUCUAUCUUUGAGAACUUGAUUAAAGAGAGCCCACCCUUCAGAGUCAGCACACUAACAAAAUGAUGUUUGUCACCAGUUCCUGGACUGUGUGUACACACAUGUGGAACCUGGAUGUAAUGGCUGAGAUCUGUCAUUUGCAGUAGCGCACGGAUCACCCUGGAAUAAAUUAAUGGCAUUUGCUUUCAACACCCAUGUCUACAAAUCUGCAAGUGAGAAGGAAAUGUGUGAAACUUCAAACCCAGACAUGGCUGCAUUUAAAAACAACAUUCUUUGUUUUGUUGGUUUUUUUUAAUUAGAUAUUUUUCUUAUUUACUUUUCAAAUGUUAUCCCCUUUCCUGGUCUGCCCCCCCAUAUCAUAUUA